rnacentral:misc_RNA from 1 species
AAGUCGUAACAAGGUCUCCGUUGGUGAACCAGCGGAGGGAUCAUUACAGAGUUAUCAAAACUCCCAAACCCAUGUGAACAUACCUCGCGUUGCCUCGGCAGGUGGCGCCCCGCCCUGUGAGCUCCUACCCUGUAGGAGCUCACCCGGUGGUCGCCCCUGCCGACGGCCCACGAAACUCUGUUUUUUAUAGCAUUAGACCUCUGAAAAGAUAACUAAAUAAGUUAAAACUUUCAACAACGGAUCUCUUGGUUCUG